rnacentral:rRNA from 1 species
GACGAACGCUGGCGGCGUGCUUAACACAUGCAAGUCGAACGGAAAGGCUCCAGCUUGCUGGAGUACUCGAGUGGCGAACGGGUGAGUAACACGUGGGUAAUCUGCCCUGCACUCUGGGAUAAGCCUGGGAAACUGGGUCUAAUACUGGAUAUGACCUUUCUCCUUAUGGGGUUUGGUGGAAAGUUUUUCGGUGUAGGAUGAGCCCGCGGCCUAUCAGCUUGUUGAUGGGGUGAUGGCCUACCAAGGCGACGACGGGUAGCCGGCCUGAGAGGGUGAUCGGCCACAUUGGGACUGAGAUACGGCCCAGACUCCUACGGGAGGCAGCAGUGGGGAAUAUUGCACAAUGGGCGGAAGCCUGAUGCAGCGACGCCGCGUGAGGGAUGACGGCCUUCGGGUUGUAAACCUCUUUCAGCAGGGACGAAGCGUAAGUGACGGUACCUGCAGAAGAAGCACCGGCUAACUAUGUG